CCUACGGGAGGCAGCAGUGGGGAAUAUUGGGCAAUGGGCGCAAGCCUGACCCAGCAACGCCGCGUGAAGGAAGAAGGCUUUCGGGUUGUAAACUUCUGUUCUCAGGGACGAAGCAAGUGACGGUACCUGAGGAAUAAGCCACGGCUAACUACGUGCCAGCAGCCGCGGUAAUACGUAGGUGGAAAGCGUUAUCCGGAUUUACUGGGUGUAAAGGGCGGGAAGGCGGGGAAGCAAGUCAGAUGUGAAAGCCACGGGCUCAACCUGUGGCCUGCCUUUGAAACUGUUUAUCUUGAGUACUGGAGAGGCAGACGGAAUUCCUAGUGUAGCGGUGAAAUGCGUAGAUAUUAGGAGGAACACCAGUGGCGAAGGCGGUCUGCUGGACCGCAACUGACGCUGAGGCGCGAAAGCGUGGGGAGCAAACAGGAUUAGAUACCCCAGUAGUC
rnacentral:rRNA from 1 species